CUCUAGGGAAGCCCCUUCGAUGUGCAGCUGGCGCCGACCAGAUCGGCUUGAAGAGAAGCUGAUUGGGCCACCACGCCUGGCAAGAACAAAAAGUAGACACGUCUAGUGUGGAGUGAGGAUGGGAGGAAGGCUGAUGGCGCCAGGUCCCGCGAGGAGCUCCUACCCUGCCUUCUAAUGGAGGCUGGGACCAUUCCUCACUAUGGACGUCUGAACAUGGAUGGACACUUGACAUGGCUCUUAAGCCUUGUGUGUUUGUAUGGUCCACUAGUAAAUGGGAAAAAGAGA